GGGGUUGUGGCUCAGCGAUAGAAUGCAUGCCUAGUGUGUAUGAGGUGCUGGGUUCGAUCCUCAGCACCACUU
rnacentral:tRNA from 1 species